ensembl:lncRNA
CUCAUGUACACAUCUAGUACAUGCGUGUACCAUCUCUGGGUCCCUUAAGUGUGCACAGAUACUCCGUGGGUCUGUCCAUUCUCUGUAUGAACGUGUACAUACUACGUGUGUGCCUUUGAACAAGGACAUAAGCGGGAUGGAGAUAAACCCAUUUCCUGGUUCCAAAGGCCUGCAGCUAUUUCCCCAGGAGAGCAGGAAAAGGAAAAGGAUCUGCCCGGUUCUGCGAUAUCCACAGCAGCUCUGCUGAUGUGUCUCCAGCUUUUGAUGGGGGGUUAAAAAGCAGCCUGGCUCCGAAGAAGCUCCCAUCCAGAGCAAAGUGACCCUGUGGCCAAGACUCAACGUCCUUCAGACUCCCCUUGUCCAGAAGGCUCCUGCGACCCCCAGCCUUUGCAUCAUCCCUUCCCUGGGCCCCAGAGCCACAGCCUGUGGUGGCAGACAAUUCUGCAAAAAGAGCCUUGUUUGAGAAGCUGAGAUGGGGACAUUGACCCCCCUUGCAGCUGAGGGAGAUCCGCAAGGGCAGAAAGCCCUACGGAAGAGUUGGACUCCAGAGUGGCUGAGGCAGGAUCAGGAGCCUGGGAGGAAAUUACCACCUACCUACCCAGAAGGGCAGGACAAGCUGGAGUGGGAGGGGGAAAUAGAUAUCUAUAUCCCCACUCCCUGUCCCCAGGACCUGCCUCUGUGGGCUUGGAAAGAAAGCCCUCAGGAAGGUUCCACAUGGACUCCCUCCAGCUCCUUGCGUAGACGGCCCAAGUCCCCCCAACUUCAUCUGCCCAGGGCAGCUCAUAUCUUCAAGGGCUCAGGAGCUCAGGAGAGGUUCAGCUCCUUUGGCUCUCUGCCCUCCACCUGGGAGCAACAAGGAAGCUUUUCCAGGCCCUACUCAUGGGCCCACCAAAACCUCCUGCCUCUUCGAAAGUUGGCCCCUUUGGGGACUCCUUGCCCUCUCCCACAAGCCAUCUCCCCACCCCACGGCUGGAAUCCGAUUAAGUCUCUGCCUCCCAGAAGGCUGGCCCCUCUAAGGCUUCCUUAUCCUCAGCCCCAGCCCACCUUGACCCUCAAAGGUAGCCUCAGGACAUGCCAGAGCCCCUGCAAGCGGCCACCUAACAGAUUGGCUCCUUUAGAGGUGUAUCAAAGAGGCUUCACGCCAGCCCCGUCCACACCUCCCCACUCAGACGUCCGGAUACCCUUCACUCCCACUUGAUGUUUCCCAUUCCUAAAUGAUGUAGAAAAAUAAAAAUAAAAUUUCCUAAAAAAGAAAAAAAAAAGCUACCUUGUAAAAAUCCCAAAAUAUCCCUAAAAGAGUCCUGAAAAGAUUUUUGUAAAUAGCCUCCAAACUGUGAAUCUCUUAUCACUGAUCAUUUAUGUUAUUGCUGAUAAUAUGCAGGUUAGAUCAUGGAAAAAACUGGGAAGUAGAUGAUCUUUGUUUUCUGCCCUCUCUACCCUUCCCUUUCUAUAGAAGGUAGAAACCAUAUCUCCCUAUUUACCAUCUAACUACCUGGUAAGGGGGGGUGUAUGGGGUGCUCAGGGAGGUGUAGUAUCUCUGGUUUGGAGGGCUUGCCGUGCCCUCCUAGGGCAGCAAUCCAACCUCUGACCCUCACCUGACACCCAGCUCUCACUGGUGGCUCCCAGUAGCUGCUAGCAUGCAGCAGCGGCCACACCCCGGGCAACGGCUUUGACAGGGUGGCUAAACCUUGUGAGAGUAGCCAUCAGGUCGUCGACCCCUGGUGAACCAGGGCUUUGCUCACCCAGCAUGUGAAGACUGUUUCGGCCGAACAGACGGAAGAAACCAAUAAGAAGGUUCAAUGGCUG